GUCCAGACUCCUACGGGAGGCAGCAGUGGGGAAUAUUGCACAAUGGGCGAAAGCCUGAUGCAGCGACGCCGCGUGAAGGAUGAAGUAUUUCGGUAUGUAAACUUCUAUCAGCAGGGAAGAAAAUGACGGUACCUGACUAAGAAGCCCCGGCUAACUACGUGCCAGCAGCCGCGGUAAUACGUAGGGGGCAAGCGUUAUCCGGAUUUACUGGGUGUAAAGGGAGCGUAGACGGCGAUGCAAGCCAGAUGUGAAAGCCCGGGGCUCAACCCCGGGACUGCAUUUGGAACUGUGUGGCUGGAGUGUCGGAGAGACAAGUGGAAUUCCUAGUGUAGCGGUGAAAUGCGUAGAUAUUAGGAGGAACACCAGUGGCGAAGGCGGCUUACUGGACGGUAACUGACGUUGAGGCUCGAAAGCGUGGGGAGCAAACAGGAUUAGAUACCCGCGUA
rnacentral:rRNA from 1 species